AUAUUUAGCUGGCAGGGUAGACAAAGUGAUAACAAAGAUGGUUUUCUCAGGAUGAGACUUAUUCAUUGCACUCCAAUGUACUGACCCCUGCCCCUUCCCCAAAUGUGGGGAACCUGACUGCAUAAUUUGUGGUAAUGUGUGUGGGGGCACCGCUUU